AACGCGAAGAACCUUACCUGGGCUCGAAGCGUAGUGGACUGAGGUAGAAAUAUCUUUUCCCCGCAAGGGGCUGCUACGUAGGUGCUGCAUGGCUGUCGUCAGCUCGUGUCGUGAGAUGUUGGGUUAAGUCCCGCAACGAGCGCAACCCUUAUCUCCAGUUGCCAUCAUUCAGUUGGGCACUCUGGCGAAACCGCCUCGGAUAACGGGGAGGAAGGUGGGGAUGACGUCAAGUCCUCAUGGCCUUUAUGUCCAGGGCUACACACGUGCUACAAUGGCCGGUAUAAACCGCUGCAAACCCGCGAGGGGGAGCUAAUCGGAAAAAGCCGGCCUCAGUUCGGAUUGCAGUCUGCAACUCGACUGCAUGAAGCUGGAAUCGCUAGUAAUCGCAGAUCAGAAUGCUGCGGUGAAUACGUUCCCGGGCCUUGUACACACCGACUGUAC
rnacentral:rRNA from 1 species